GGGUUGUGAGGUUAAGCGACUAAGCGUACACGGUGGAUGCCCUGGCAGUCAGAGGCGAUGAAGGACGUGCUAAUCUGCGAUAAGCGCCGGUAAGGUGAUAUGAACCGUUAUAACCGGCGAUUUCCGAAUGGGGAAACCCAGUGUGACUCGUCACACUAUCAUUAACUGAAUCCAUAGGUUAAUGAGGCGAACCGGGGGAACUGAAACAUCUAAGUACCCCGAGGAAAAGAAAUCAACCGAGAUUCCCCCAGUAGCGGCGAGCGAACGGGGAGGAGCCCAGAGCCUGAAUCAGCAUGUGUGUUAGUGGAAGCGUCUGGAAAGGCGCGCGAUACAGGGUGACAGCCCCGUACACAAAAGCGCAUGUGCUGUGAGCUCGAUGAGUAGGGCGGGACACGUGGUAUCCUGUCUGAAUAUGGGGGGACCAUCCUCCAAGGCUAAAUACUCCUGACUGACCGAUAGUGAACCAGUACCGUGAGGGAAAGGCGAAAAGAACCCCGGCGAGGGGAGUGAAAAAGAACCUGAAACCGUGUACGUACAAGCAGUGGGAGCCCCACCACUAAGCCAGUGGUGAACUCCACAUACGCAUCCUUUGCUGAGGAUAAGGUUAACGGAGCGAAAGCGACGUUCAACCGCAAAAGAAGCAGAGGGGGCUUAGUGGUGGGGUGACUGCGUACCUUUUGUAUAAUGGGUCAGCGACUUAUAUUCUGUAGCAAGGUUAACCGUAUAGGGGAGCCGCAGGGAAACC
rnacentral:rRNA from 1 species